CAUCACCGACUCGCUUUUCCCGCCAUACCGAUACCUACACAGACACGCUCGCAUUGUGCUAACAACGACUUCAACGCCAUAUAUUCAUUCACUCACUCACCGUUACUCUUAAUCACUAUAUCAUUCAUCUGAUCAGGGUUUGUUGGUGACCCCUUAAAUAGGAACAUGUUUGUUUCUCUUUUCUAUUCUCUGAGACGUGUUGCCGAUGAAGUAAAGAAGUGGCGUCCGUCCUGCUGGAGCUGAGCGUGGAUAUACUUUUCUCAAGUACAAUCUCAUCAUAACAUGUCAUCUUACUAAUCUCACUAGUCUUGGUUUCUAAUAACUCUAAUAACUUUAGUAAUGGUUUCCCUAAACAGCCAAGAUCAAGAAUGGAGAAAGCAUAACUUUUGUAAUGGUUAAUCGUGACUUUACUUUUCUCAAGUACAACUUCACAGUAGCAUAUCACUGAACUAAUCUGUUUGCACGUUAUAGUAGGUCAGGUAUUUUACAGAGUUGGUGUUGAUAUACCUGAAGAAAAAUAGCCCUAGAGGCUCCAAGUAUUCAUGACAUUUUCAUUUGUAAUAUUACAUUCCUCCUACAAAUAAGAGAUAGCAGAAGCAUUGCUUGUACAAAUGUUCCUUUGCUAUUAAUUUUGAAACCCAAUAAAAAA